UACGUAGGGUGCGAGCGUUAAUCGGAAUUACUGGGCGUAAAGCGUGCGCAGGCGGUGAUGUAAGACAGGUGUGAAAUCCCCGGGCUUAACCUGGGAACUGCAUUUGUGACUGCAUCGCUGGAGUGCGGCAGAGGGGGAUGGAAUUCCGCGUGUAGCAGUGAAAUGCGUAGAUAUGCGGAGGAACACCGAUGGCGGAAGGCAAUCCCCUGGGCCUGCACUGACGCUCAUGCACGAAAGCGUGGGGAGCGAAACAAGG
rnacentral:rRNA from 1 species